UAGAAAGACACCUUCUAAAAACAUUAACAUAUAUUACUGGCAUGCAAAACCUUAAAUUAGAGUGAAUCAAGGAAGACUCGGCGCACCGUGUCUGAAAGGUUGCCGACCCCUGUUCUAAUCCAUGACAGUUUUGCCCCAAAGUCCCAGGCAG